AACGGGGGGAGGCCCCUGCUCCGCAACUGCCGCGUGAAUGAUGAAGGCCUUAGGGUUGUAAAGUUCUUUCCCUGUGAAGAUAAUGACGGUAGCAGGAGAAGAAGCCCCGGCUAACUCCGUGCCAGCAGCCGCGGUAAGACGGAGGGGGCUAGCGUUGUUCGGAAUGACUGGGCGUAAAGGGCGCGUAGGCGGUUUUUUAAGUGAGGCGUGAAAGCCCUGGGCUUAACCCAGGAGGUGCGUUUCAUACUGGAAGACUUGAGUACGAGAGAGGAAAGCGGAAUUCCUAGUGUAGAGGUGAAAUUCGUAGAUAUUAGGGAGAGCACCGGUGGCGAAGGCGGCUUUCUGGCUCGUAACUGACGCUGAGGCGCGAAA
rnacentral:rRNA from 1 species